ensembl:snoRNA LOC120094937 small nucleolar RNA SNORA17
AGUUGACUGACUUGGUUGAAAGUCUCUGUUUAUAUUCAGUGUUCUGACUUAGGAACAUCUGAAUGAUUAAUAGCCUAACAUU